rnacentral:rRNA from 1 species
CCUACGAGUGGCAGCAGUGAGGAAUAUUGGUCAAUGGGCGCGAGCCUGAACCAGCCAAGUCGCGUGAGGGAUGACGGCCCUACGGGUUGUAAACCUCUUUUGCCGGGGAGCAACGGGCUCCACGUGUGGCGCCACUGCGCGUACCCGGAGACAAAGCCUCGGCUAACUCCGUGCCAGCCGCCGCGGUAAUACGGAGGAUGCGAGCGUUCUCCGGGUUUAUUGGGUUUAAGGGGUGCGUAGGCGGAUCGUUAAGUCAGUGGUCACAUUGAGGGGCUCAACCCCUUCCCGCCAUUGAAACUGGCGCUCUUGAGUGGAAGAGAAGUAUGCGGAAUGCGUGGUGUAGCGGUGAAAUGCAUAGAUAUCACGCAGAACCCCGAUUGCGAAGGCAGCAUGCCGGCUUCCGACUGACGCUGAAGCACGAAAGCGUGGGGAUCGAACAGGAUUAGAUACCCUGGUAGUC